rnacentral:rRNA from 1 species
UCGACCGGCGCACGGGUGAGUAACGCGUAUCCAACCUUCCCAUUACUGUGGGAUAACCUGCCGAAGGCAGACUAAUACCGCAUAGUCUUCGAUGACGGCAUCAGAUUUGAAGUAAAGAUUUAUCGGUAAUGGAUGGGGAUGCGUCUGAUUAGCUUGUUGGCGGGGUAACGGCCCACCAAGGCGACGAUCAGUAGGGGUUCUGAGAGGAAGGUCCCCCACAUUGGAACUGAGACACGGUCCAAACUCCUACGGGAGGCAGCAGCG